rnacentral:pre_miRNA from 1 species
CCUUAUGGAUGAGCAAAGAGAGUGGUUUCUUGAGAUGGAGCCUACUCCUGGUGAGGAUGCUGUGAA